rnacentral:rRNA from 1 species
UACGUAGGCAGCGAGCGUUGUUCGGAGUUACUGGGCGUAAAGGGUGCGUAGGCGGUUGUUUAAGUUUGGUGUGAAAUCUCCCGGCUCAACUGGGAGGGUGCGCCGAAUACUGAGGGACUAGAGUAUGGGAUGGGAAAGUGGAAUUCCUGGUGUAGCGGUGAAAUGCGUAGAGAUCGGGAGGAACACCAGUGGCGAAGGCGGCCUUCUGGACCAAUACUGACGCUCAUGCACGAAAGCGUGGGGAGCAAACAGG